GACGAACGCUGGCGGCGUGCUUAACACAUGCAAGUCGAACGGUAAGGCCCUUCGGGGUACACGAGUGGCGAACGGGUGAGUAACACGUGGGUGAUCUGCCCUGCACUUCGGGAUAAGCCUGGGAAACUGGGUCUAAUACCGGAUAGGACUCCUGGCUUCAUGGUUGGGGGUGGAAAGCUUUUGCGGUGUGGGAUGGGCCCGCGGCCUAUCAGCUUGUUGGUGGGGUAAUGGCCUACCAAGGCGACGAGGGGUAGCCGGCCGGAGAGGGUGACCGGUCACACUGGGGCUGAGAUCCGGCCCAUACUCCUAGGGGAGGCAGCAGUGGGGAAGAUUGCACAUUGGGCGCAAGCCUGAUGCAGCGACGCCGCGUGAGGGAUGACGGCCUUCGGGUUGUAAACCUCUUUCAGCUAUGACGAAGCGCAAGCGACGGUAGUAGCAGAAGAAGGACCGGCCAACUACGUGCCAGCAGCCGCGGUAA
rnacentral:rRNA from 1 species